AGCAUCAAACCUCACCUGUUUUCUACUGUACAUAUAGAAUACUUAAAAACGUGUUCAAACACACGUUUAGAGACGAGAUAAUCGUUUUUGAAAUAUACAAAGAAAGGUGGACGGUAGUUCCAUAAAUGAGUGCAAUAGGAAAGCAGGAAAAAAUUGUGGAACAUCGUACAUCAAACACCCUGAAAUACCACAUAACGGUCACGACCACUCUAUCAAGAGUGUAUCGAUUAAGAAGAGUCUAGAAUACGGUUUACCUAUUUAUGAAAGUAUCAAAAAUGUCCGACAUUAUUCCUAAAUAGUAUUUUCAAUUAUGGUCUUUACUGAAAACAAAUGAAAUUUGAUUUGAGUGGUUUUGUUAGGUCGCAGGUGAUGUGAGAAGAUACACGACGGUCCAAGUUUUAUUGUUACUCCCACUCUGCGAAUUGAAUUUGAAACAAGCGAGUAACGAUCGAUACUAGACACCUACUCGCCGUGAGGACGGGACAUCCGAAGCUCAUCUAAACAAGAAGUUGUAUGAAAACAAGUUUCUAGCUUAACGGCUUAGCUACACCAGUACUAAUGUAAUAAUCAGAAUUAUUUGAACCUCUAAGAAAAAGUAUGAUAAAAUUCAUCUAUUGAAACUAUUGUAUUUCUGAAUAUUCUUUACUAGCGGUCCGCUCCGGCUCCGCUCGGGUCAACAAAAAUUCAAUGAUA